rnacentral:rRNA from 1 species
GAUGAACGCUGGCGGCGUGCCAAAUACAUGCAAGUCGAGCGAACGGACGAGAAGCUUGCUUCUCUGAUGUUAGCGGCGGACGGGUGAGUAACACGUGGAUAACCUACCUAUAAGACUGGGAUAACUUCGGGAAACCGGAGCUAAUACCGGAUAAUAUUUUGAACCGCAUGGUUCAAAAGUGAAAGACGGUCUUGCUGUCACUUAUAGAUGGAUCCGCGCUGCAUUAGCUAGUUGGUAAGGUAACGGCUUACCAAGGCAACGAUGCAUAGCCGACCUGAGAGGGUGAUCGGCCACACUGGAACUGAGACACGGUCCAGACUCCUACGGGAGGCAGCAGUAGGGAAUCUUCCGCAAAGGGCGAAAGCCUGACGGAGCAACGCCGCGUGAGUGAUGAAGGUCUUCGGAUCGUAAAACUCUGUUAUUAGGGAAGAACAUAUGUGUAAGUAACUGUGCACAUCUUGACGGUACCUAAUCAGAAAGCCACGGCUAACUACGUG